rnacentral:rRNA from 2 species
UUAUACUGUCUCCUUCUUUCCAAUCAGUGAAACUAAUCUCCCCGUCCUACAACUUCUAAACCAUUGGGGCCCUGUAACAUUGGUUUUAGGCUGGGGCGACCACGGAGUACAACGAAUCCUCCACAAUGAACGGAGCUACUUCCUUAUCUAAGAGCUACACCUCUAAGAAUUAAUACAUUAACAUAAAAUGAUCCUUUUCUGAUCAAUGAACCAAGUUACCCUGGGGAUAACAGCGCAAUCCACUUCAAGAGCCCGUAUCGACAAGUGGGUUUACGACCUCGAUGUUGGAUCAGGGUAUCCUAGUGGUGCAGCAGCUACUAAUGGUUCGUUUGUUCAACGAUUAAAACCCUACGUGAUC